rnacentral:rRNA from 1 species
AUACGUAGGGGGCGAGCGUUGUCCGGAAUGAUUGGGCGUAAAGGGCGCGUAGGCGGCGCGGUAAGUCUGGAGUGAAAGUCCUGCUUUCAAGGUGGGAAUUGCUUUGGAUACUGCCGCGCUUGAGUGCAGGAGAGGUUAUCGGAAUUCCCGGUGUAGCGGUGAAAUGCGUAGAGAUCGGGAGGAACACCAGUGGCGAAGGCGGGUAACUGGACUUCAACUGACGCUGAGGCGCGAAAGUGUGGGGAGCAAACAGGAUUAGAUACCCUGGUAGUCCACACUGUAAACGAUGAAUGCUAGGUGUAAGAGGUAUCGACCCCUUUUGUGCCGCAGUCAACACAAUAAGCAUUCCGCCUGGGGAGUACGGCCGCAAGGUUGAAACUCAAAUGAAUUGACGGGG